AUUGAACGCUGGCGGCAGGCCUAACACAUGCAAGUCGAGCGGAUGAAGGGAGCUUGCUCCUGGAUUCAGCGGCGGACGGGUGAGUAAUGCCUAGGAAUCUGCCUGGUAGUGGGGGAUAACGUCCGGAAACGGGCGCUAAUACCGCAUACGUCCUGAGGGAGAAAGUGGGGGAUCUUCGGACCUCACGCUAUCAGAUGAGCCUAGGUCGGAUUAGCUAGUUGGUGGGGUAAAGGCCUACCAAGGCGACGAUCCGUAACUGGUCUGAGAGGAGGAUCAGCCGCACUAGAACUGAGACGCGGUCCUGACUCCUACGGGAGGCAGCAGUGGGGAAUGUUGGACAAUGGGCGAAAGCCUUAUCCAGCCAUGCCGCGUGUGUGAAGAAGGUCUUCGGAUUGUAAAGCACUUUAAGGUGGGAGGAAGGGCAGUAAGUUAAUACCUUGCUGUUUUGACGUUACCAACAGAAUAAGCACCGGCUAACUUCGUG
rnacentral:rRNA from 1 species